CCUACGGGGGGCAGCAGUGAGGAAUAUUGGUCAAUGGACGAGAGUCUGAACCAGCCAAGUAGCGUGAAGGAUGAAUGCCCUAUGGGUUGUAAACUUCUUUUAUAUGGGAAUAAAAUGUUCCACGUGUGGGAUUUUGUAUGUACCAUAUGAAUAAGGAUCGGCUAACUCCGUGCCAGCAGCCGCGGUAAUACGGAGGAUCCGAGCGUUAUCCGGAUUUAUUGGGUUUAAAGGGAGCGUAGGUGGAUUGUUAAGUCAGUUGUGAAAGUUUGCGGCUCAACCGUAAAAUUGCAGUUGAAACUGGCAGUCUUGAGUACAGUAGAGGUGGGCGGAAUUCGUGGUGUAGCGGUGAAAUGCUUAGAUAUCACGAAGAACUCCGAUUGCGAAGGCAGUUCACUGGACUGCAACUGACACUGAGGCUCGAAAGUGUGGGUAUCAAACAGGAUUAGAUACCCUAGUAGUC
rnacentral:rRNA from 1 species